rnacentral:rRNA from 1 species
GAUGAACGCUGGCGGCGUGCCUAAUACAUGCAAGUCGAGCGAACGGACGAGAAGCUUGCUUCUCUGAUGUUAGCGGCGGACGGGUGAGUAACACGUGGAUAACCUACCUAUAAGACUGGGAUAACUUCGGGAAACCGUAGCUAAUACCGGAUAAUAUUUUGAACCGCAUGGUUCAAAAGUGAAAGACGGUCUUGCUGUCACUUAUAGAUGGAUCCGCGCUGCAUUAGCUAGUUGGUAAGGUAACGGCUUACCAAGGCAACGAUGCAUAGCCGACCGGAGAGGCGGAUCGGCCACACUGGAGCUGAGACACGGUCCAGACUCCUACGGGAGGCAGCAGUAGGGAAUCUUCCGCAAUGGGCGAGAGCCUGACGGAGCAACGCCGCGUGAGUGAUGAAGGUCUUCGGAUCGUAAAACUCUGUUAUUAGGGAAGAACAUAUGUGUAAGUAACUGUGCACAUCUUGACGGUACCUAAUCAGAAAGCCACGGCUAACUACGUG